UGAAAAGAGACAUCUGGUUAUAAAACGCAGCAUCAAAUUGUUAAGAUUUUCUAUGCAUCAUAAACUCAGGGUGCACCUUGCCUGCUAGUGAAGCAGCAGGAGCAUCUGCACUGACAUCCCACCACCACAGGCUGAGAUAUAAUUGACUUUUGCUUUUUAAGUAACACACCUGGAAUGCACCCCUUCGUCAUGCUGGUAAAAAAAAAAACAACAAACCAAACACUUAGUGGGAAACAGAUUCUGUUACCACUGUCAUUAUCGGUCAGUAUCUUGCUAUAAAAACCCUCGGUACUCCUUGAAAGUAAAGACCAGCCUUAAGUAGAUCCUAACUUGUGGGACCUUUCUACUGGCUGACGGGGGCUAAAUCUGUUGGCAAGUGCAAGCAGGGGCCUAAUCACACUUUGAUGAAAGCCUUUAGAUGCCUUAUUGCCCUUGGUGGUUAAGAUGAGCCCCUGCAGCACGAGGACAACAUUGCAAGGGUCCCGCUGUUGAAAGAGCCACUGCCACUGUACAACUACAUUAGGAAACCCUUGCUGCACACUGAGGAUUUCAUGAAUACAACGCCAAGACACUAAAAUCCAGAAUACGAAAUCAAACAAACAAGCAAAAACCCCAUGUCAGCCCAUCCUGCUAGCUCUCCCCAAAAGAGAGAUGCUGGGGUUCAGCCAUAGCUCUGGCCCCACUAGAGGGCACCAAAUAUUCACGCAUCCCAAGACGGCCGCUGCAGCAAACAGUUCGGCUUACCCAAGUAUUUAUAGCAUUAAACUCCUGUGAGGUAGUACUUCACAUGCCCAAGACAGACGUUUUGGAGUGGGGUAGAGAGAAGGGGCCAGAACCCAGCUCUUCACUCAGAGCAAGGUUUCAGUCCACGAGUUGCUGGGUCGUGGCCAUAAAGAGAAACAAGCAGGGAGGAGACAUUUGGCCUUCCCUAAGGAGCUGCCUUAGACUGUGCUGCGUCUCACAGGAUGUGCAGCAUUUUCUCUGAUACUCUGUGCCCAAAAGCUUUUUGGACACAUAAAAGACCAUGUCCAAAACCUUGCCUCAGUUAAGGCACACCAAGGGGAGGGUGGGGGCCAAGCUUUUACGAUGCUUAUGUUUCAGAGGGUUGGUAAUGGCUUUUAUGGUUUCAAUUCAAAGCAAAAUAAAUAGAACCCUAGCAAGAGUCAUAAAACAGGGUUUGUUUGUUUUCUCUUGGAAUUCCCAAACCACAUUGCAAGUGGUGGUGACCUGGGGUGUCAUCUUCAAAAGAACAGCUGCCAAAAGCGGACACACGGCAGAGCACCUCUUCCAAGCUGCAGGGGCAACACCAAGUCUUAAAAAUGGCCCAAAUGAAUGCUUUUUGUGACUAACCAACCCAAGCAUCUGGCUAUACUGUCGCAUUAGAAUAGAGAAGAGAUCACACCCCACGCUCAGAGCCUUCCCUCUCAAGGGAUUUACACCCAAAGGAAAUGCCCAGCCAUCUCAGGAGCUCACAAAUGACACCACAUGGCAGCAUCCACGCGCAUUAAGGUAUGGCAUUAACCCUUUCGUCCAAAAUGCUUCAGCUCUUUGCAUGUCUCUGCUGUAUAAACCAAUGUUACAACAUGAUGAAAACUGGUAAUGUUUGAUAUAUGCACAUAGAUUUGUAUAUCCAUAAUGCUGUAUCUGUAAAUAUAUAGAGCAGCAUGCAAGCUGGCUCCUGUUAAGAAAAUCAGCACAUUCUCUCUCACUCACUCAACUGUGUUUUCAGAAACUCUACAUAAGCGCAACUCUAGUAAAUACUUUUUCAGAAGCAUAAUGGAAAUAAUGUAAGUUAGACACUUACAACAUAAAGCUUCCUGUGCUCAUUACAUCACGAGAUGAAUAAACCAUAAAAAGCCCUUAGAAAUGCCAGUAUAGCAGGAGUUAAUCCUUACGAAAAUGCAACAGCGAGAAAGACUGCAUCUUUCAUCCUCUCUCAUGAUUUACUGCAUAGCUUUCGGCUCAAAAUAAUGCCACAAAGUAAAUAAAGAGAUGGCAAUUAUACUGAAGGGGAAUCCUUCCUUCACUACAGCACUGUCAGGAAGGGGGAUCAGGUUUACGGUAUAAAAAGGACGAACAUUUUAAUGGAGGAAUACCUUGAGGAACUUAGCUAGCACUGAAUUUCAGUAUUCUCCAAAAAUCAGUAGCAUUACUUCCUACUAAUGAAGAAAGAACACGUGGCAAGGUUAAAAAUACUUCUAAAUUCUCCUUCACUAUGGACUUGUGAUUACACAGAACUACAGAUAUUAGAAACAGAUGAAACAAGAAGAAAGCGUACGGAUUCCAACAUAACCUACUGUGUUACCAAAUUAAUUACAAAAAGCUGAUGUCCAAAAAUUCAUGACAAGUACUCCAAACCACAACCAAAUGCAAGCACAAAAUAAAAUACUCCCUAGCUUUCAGCUAUUUUGCCUUGUCCCAGUAGUCCCCUCAGAGUUAGGAAGCAUUCUCUAAGCCCCUCACUUUUAGCAUGACAACACAGCCCUCAAACAAGCACCUU